rnacentral:lncRNA from 1 species
UCACUACAGAGCAUGGGCAUUUGGACAAAAUCCCAAAUCAAUCAAUGCUUAUCGAGUCAUCCAACCAAUCAUCCUUGGUUAGGAGCCGAACAAAGAAGUUAUUCGAAGCUUCCAUACCUUCUUCUCUACAUAAGCACACAUGUGAACUACAUUUUUCAAUCAUUAUUAUUAUCAAAUCCGUUUCACCAAUAACUCAUCAUAAUACAACCAUUUACAUUUCACUAAGG